rnacentral:tRNA from 1 species
GAAGGUACAGCUCAGGAGUAGAGGACAUGCCUAGCACGCAUGAGGCCCUGGGUUCAACCCCCAGUGCCUCA